rnacentral:rRNA from 1 species
ACCCGCUGAACUUAAGCAUAUCAAUAAGCGGAGGAAAAGAAACUAACAAGGAUUCCCCUAGUAACUGCGAGUGAAGCGGGAAAAGCUCAAAUUUAAAAUCUGGCGGUUUUGCCGUCCGAGUUGUAAUCUGGAGAAGCGUUUUCCGCGUCGGACCGUGUACAAGUCUCUUGGAACAGAGCGUCAUAGAGGGUGAGAAUCCCGUCCAUGACACGGACUCCCGAUGCUUUGUGAUACGCUCUCGAAGAGUCGAGUUGUUUGGGAAUGCAGCUCAAAAUGGGUGGUAAAUUCCAUCUAAAGCUAAAUAUUGGCGAGAGACCGAUAGCGAACAAGUACCGUGAGGGAAAGAUGAAAAGCACUUUGGAAAGAGAGUUAAACAGUACGUGAAAUUGUUGAAAGGGAAACGCUUGAAGUCAGUCGCGUCUUACGGGACUCAGCCUUGCCUCGGCUUGGUGUACUUCCUGUAGGACGGGUCAACAUCGAUUUUGACCGGCGGACAAAGGGGAUGGGAAUGUGGCAAUCCUCGGAUUGUGUUAUAGCCCUCUUCCGUAUACGCCGGUUGGGAUCGAGGACCGCAGCGCGCCUUUAUGGCCGGGGGCUUGCCCCACGUACCGCGCUUAGGAUGUUGGCAUAAUGGCUUUAAGCGACCCGUCUUGAAACACGG